rnacentral:rRNA from 1 species
UACGUAGGGCGCAAGCGUUGUCCGGAAUUAUUGGGCGUAAAGAGCUCGUAGGCGGCUUGUCACGUCGGGUGUGAAAGUCCGGGGCUUAACCCCGGGUCUGCAUUCGAUACGGGCUAGCUAGAGUGUGGUAGGGGAGAUCGGAAUUCCUGGUGUAGCGGUGAAAUGCGCAGAUAUCAGGAGGAACACCGGUGGCGAAGGCGGAUCUCUGGGCCAUUACUGACGCUGAGGAGCGAAAGCGUGGGGAGCGAACAGG